rnacentral:rRNA from 1 species
UGCGUAGGUGGUUAGGUAAGACCCGUGGGAAAGACCUGGGCUUAACCCAGGAAGGUCGCAGGUGACUGCCUGGCUAGAGGGCGGGAGAGGAGCGCGGAAUUCCCGGUGUAGCGGUGAAAUGCGUAGAGAUCGGGAGGAAGGCCGGUGGCGAAGGCGGCGCUCUGGAACGUUCCUGACACUGAGGCACGAAAGCGUGGGGAGCAAACAGGAUUAGAUACCCUGGUAGUCCACGCCCUAAACGAUGGGUACUAAGUGUCGGCGGGUUACCGCCGGUGCCGCACCUAACGGAGUAAGUACCCCGCCUGGGGAGUACGGCCGCAAGGUUGAA